rnacentral:rRNA from 1 species
AUUGAACGCUGGCGGCAGGCCUAACACAUGCAAGUCGAGCGAGCGGCGGACGGGUGAGUAAUGUAUGGGGAUCUGCCCGAUCGAGGGGGAUAACUACUGGAAACGGUGGCUAAUACCGCAUACUCUCGGAUGAACCCAUAUCGGAUUAGCUAGUAGGUGGGGUAAAGGCUAACCUAGGCAACGAUCUCUAGCUGGUCUGAGAGGAUGAUCAGCCACACUGGGACUGAGACACGGCCCAGACUCCUACGGGAGGCAGCAGUGGGGAAUAUUCCACAAUGGGCGAAAGCCUGAUGCAGCCAUGCCGCGUGUAUGAAGAAGGCCUUAGGGUCGUAAAACACUUUCAGCGGGGAGGCGGUACCCGAAGAAGAAGCACCGGCUAACUACGUGCCAGCAGCCGCGGUAAUAC